rnacentral:rRNA from 1 species
UACGAAGGGGGCUAGCGUUGCUCGGAAUUACUGGGCGUAAAGCGCACGUAGGCGGCUUUCUAAGUCGGGGGUGAAAUCCUGGAGCUCAACUCCAGAACUGCCUUCGAUACUGGAGAGCUCGAGUCCGGGAGAGGUGAGUGGAACUGCGAGUGUAGAGGUGAAAUUCGUAGAUAUUCGCAAGAACACCAGUGGCGUAGGCGGCUCACUGGCCCGGUACUGACGCUGAGGUGCGAAAGCGUGGGGAGCAAACAGG